UAAAGAAAGUAAGAAAGGGCGUAUGGCGGAUGCCUAGGCUCACGGAGGCGAUGAAGGACGUGAUAAGCUGCGAUAAGCUUCGGGUAGGUGCAAAUAACCCUUGAUCCGAAGAUCUCCGAAUGGGACAACCUAGCCGUCUGAAGGACGGUUACUCUUACCAAUGUAAGAGAGCUAACGCAGGGAACUGAAACAUCUUAGUACCUGCAGGAAGAGAAAAUAAAUGAAUGAUUCCCCCAGUAGUGGCGAGCGAACGGGGAACAGCCCAAACCAGUGGCGUCGCAAGGCGUGGCUGGGGUUGUAGGACCGCGACAUUGUAUGCAAAUCGUGAACAGAACACUUUGGAAAAUGUGACCAUAGACGGUGAUAGUCCAGUAUGUGAAGCGAAAUGCGGCAUAGCGGUAUCCUGAGUAACGCGGGACACGAGGAAUCCUGCGCGAAUCUGCCGGGACCAUCCGGUAAGGCUAAAUACUCCCGUGAGACCGAUAGCGAACGAGUACUGUGAAGGAAAGGUGAAAAGAACCCCGAGCAGGGGAGUGAAAUAGUUCCUGAAACCAUACGCCUACAAGCGGUCGGAGCAUCGUAAGAUGUGACGGCGUGCCUUUUGCAUAAUGAUCCUACGAGUUACCGUCACUGGCGAGGUUGAGUGUCACGAGACACGUAGCCGCAGUGAAAGCGAGCCUGAAUAGGGCGCACAGUCAGUGGGGGUAGACGCGAAACCAAGUGAUCUACACUUGGCCAGGAUGAAGUCCCGGGCGCACAGUCAGUGGGGGUAGACGCGAAACCAAGUGAUCUACACUUGGCCAGGAUGAAGUCCCGGUAACACGGGAUGGAGGUCCGCACCAAUAAGCGUUGAAAAGCUUCUGGAUGAGCCGAGUGUAGGAGUGAAAGGCCAAUCAAACUUGGAGAUAGCUCGUACUCCCCGAAAGGCAUUUAGGUGCCGCGUCGGAUGGUCACCGUGAGAGGUAGAGCGACCGAUAGGACAAGAGGCUUCACCGCCUAUCGAGUCCUGACGAACUCCGAAUGCUCACGGUUUGCAGUCCGGCAGUAAGGGGGCGGGUGCUAAGGUCCGUCCCCGAGAGGAGAAGAAUCCAGACCGCCGUCUAAGGUCCCGGAGUUCUGCCUGAGUUAGUCUAACGAAGUCUGGUCCCUAUGACAGCUAGGAUGUUGGCUUGGAAGCAGCCAUUCAUUCAAAGAGUGCGUAACAGCUCACUAGUCGAGGGUCCGGGCAUGGAUAAUAAUCGGGUAUAAGGCAGACACCGAAGGCGCGGGAUAGCAAUUUUAAAAGUAUCGGUAGGGGAGCAUACUCACAGCGUCGAAUGGUGUACGUAAGUUAUCCUGGAGCGGUGAGUAAAGCAAAUGUAGGAAUAAGUAACGAUAAGGAGGGUUAGAUUCCCUCCCGCUGUAAGACCAAGGUUUCCCGGGCAAUGCCAAUCAGCCCGGGGUCAGUCGGGUCCUAAGUCUAAGCCGAACGGCGAUGGCGAUGGCAGAGACGGUUAAUAUUCCGUCACUGCCGCAUGGGGCGACGUGGAGACGGAGCAGUGAAACCACCGCGGGGCGACGGAAGUCCCCGUUGAAGGGUGUAGGCGUUGAGGAUGGCAGGCAAAUCCACCAUCCGAGCUGAACCUGACAGUACGGAGUCCUCCUCGGAGGAAUCUGAUAGUGUGGGUAAUCAUACUCCCGAGAAAAUCCGCUAAGCUUAACCCAUGCGGCACCCGUACCGCAAACGGACACACGUGGUCGGGUAGAACAUACUAAGGCGUUGAGAGAUUCAUGGUUAAGGAACUAGGCAAAUUGACCCUGUAACUUCGGGAUAAAGGGUCCUCGUGAUGAGCGAGGCGCAGAGAAUAGGUCCAGGCAACUGUUUAACAAAAACACAGGGCUGUGCAAACUCGAAAGAUGACGUAUACAGCCUGACACCUGCCCGGUGCCGGAAGGUUAAGAGGAGAUGUCACUCGCAAGAGGAAGCAUUGAAUUGGCCCCAGUAAACGGCGGCCGUAACUAUAACGGUCCUAAGGUAGCGAAAUUCCUUGUCGGGUAAGUUCCGACCUGCACGAAUGGUGUAAUGAUCCGGACGCUGUCUCAACCAUGAGCUCAGUGAAAUUGUAGUAUCGGUGAAGAUGCCGAUUACCCGCGAUGGGACGAAAAGACCCCGUGAACCUUUACUACAGCUUAGCAUUGACCUUGGUCAUCCGAUGUGUAGGAUAGGCCGGAGGCUUUGAAGCGGGAGCGCCAGCUUUCGUGGAGCCAUCCUUGAAAUACGGCCCUUUGGCUGUCUGAGGUCUAACGCGUGAUACGCGGACACUGCUUGGUGGGUAGUUUGACUGGGGUGGUCGCCUCCAAAAGCGUAACGGAGGCUUCCAAAGGUGCCUCGGGUCGAUUGGUAACCGACCUCAAAGAGUGCAAUGGCAUAAGGCGCUUGACUGGGAGGCAGACAUGCCGAGCAGGCAGGAAACUGGGGCAUAGUGAUCCGGCGGAUGUGUAUGGAAACUCCGUCGCUCAAAGGAUAAAAGGUACUCCGGGGAUAACAGGCUGAUCCCCCCCAAGAGCUCAUAUCGAACGGGGUGGUUUGGCACCUCGAUGUCGGCUCAUCGCAUCCUGGGGCUGGAGAAGGUCCCAAGGGUUGGGCUGUUCGCCCAUUAAAGCGGCACGCGAGCUGGGUUCAGAACGUCGUGAGACAGUUCGGUCUCUAUCUAUCGUGGGCGUGGGAGUUUUGAGUGGUGCCGUCACUAGUACGAGAGGACCGUGAUGGACAGACCUCCGGUUUACCAGUUGUGCCGCCAGGCGCACCGCUGGGUAUCUGAGUCUGGAUUGGAUAAGCGCUGAAAGCAUCUAAGUGCGAAGCCAGCCGCAAGAUGAGAACUCCAUUGAGGGUCGUCAAAGACGAUGACGUUGAUAGGAUGCAGGUGUAAAGACAGCGAUGUCAAAGCCGAGCAUUACUAAUUGCCCGAACACUUUCUUUAG
rnacentral:rRNA from 1 species